CGCCGACGGCGAACACGGAACAGACCGGCUCCGAGAAUGGCAGCGCGAAUCGAUCAAGUGCUAAGAACAUGUUGACGCGGCGGACAUUCAUCAGCUACAGAAUGAAUGCCACGAAUGGAAUUGUUAGUCAUUUAAUUGAAUAUGACAGGCACAGGACGGAUCGGCUUUGACGCUGAGACGCGUGACAUCGCAACGCA